AUGAACGCUAGCUACAGGCUUAACACAUGCAAGUCGAGGGGCAGCAUGAACUUAGCUUGCUAAGUUUGAUGGCGACCGGCGCACGGGUGAGUAACACGUAUCCAACCUGCCGAUGACUCGGGGAUAGCCUUUCGAAAGAAAGAUUAAUACCCGAUGGCAUAGUUCUUCCGCAUGGUGGAACUAUUAAAGAAUUUCGGUCAUCGAUGGGGAUGCGUUCCAUUAGGUUGUUGGCGGGGUAACGGCCCACCAAGCCUUCGAUGGAUAGGGGUUCUGAGAGGAAGGUCCCCCACAUUGGAACUGAGACACGGUCCAAACUCCUACGGGAGGCAGCAGUGAGGAAUAUUGGUCAAUGGACGAGAGUCUGAACCAGCCAAGUAGCGUGAAGGAUGACUGCCCUAUGGGUUGUAAACUUCUUUUAUACGGGAAUAAAGUGAGGCACGUGUGCCUUUUUGUAUGUACCGUAUGAAUAAGGAUCGGCUAACUCCGUGCCAGCAGCCGCGGUAAUACGGAGGAUCCGAGCGUUAUCCGGAUUUAUUGGGUUUAAAGGGAGCGUAGGCGGACGCUUAAGUCAGUUGUGAAAGUUUGCGGCUCAACCGUAAAAUUGCAGUUGAUACUGGGUGUCUUGAGUACAGUAGAGGCAGGCGGAAUUCGUGGUGUAGCGGUGAAAUGCUUAGAUAUCACGAAGAACUCCGAUUGCGAAGGCAGCCUGCUGGACUGUAACUGACGCUGAUGCUCGAAAGUGUGGGUAUCAAACAGGAUUAGAUACCCUGGUAGUCCACACAGUAAACGAUGAAUACUCGCUGUUUGCGAUAUACAGUAAGCGGCCAAGCGAAAGCGUUAAGUAUUCCACCUGGGGAGUACGCCGGCAACGGUGAAACUCAAAGGAAUUGACGGGGGCCCGCACAAGCAGCGGAGCAUGUGGUUUAAUUCGAAGCAACGCGAAGAACCUUACCAGGUCUUGACAUCCCGAUGCUAUUCUUAGAGAUAGGAAGUUACUUCGGUACAUCGGAGACAGGUGGUGCAUGGUUGUCGUCAGCUCGUGUCGUGAGAUGUUGGGUUAAGUCCCGCAACGAGCGCAACCCCUGUUCUUAGUUGCCAGCGAGUAAUGUCGGGAACUCUAAGAAGACUGCCGGUGAUAAAUCGGAGGAAGGUGGGGACGACGUCAAAUCAUCAUGCCCUUUAUGUCCUGGGCUACACACGUACUACAAUGGCUGUAACAAAGGGAAGCAAAGCCGCGAGGUGGAGCAAAACCCAAAAAAGCAGUCUCAGUUCGGAUUGAAGGCUGAAAUUCGCCUUUAUGAAGCCGGAAUUGCUAGUAAUGGCAGGUCAGCAUACUGCCGUGAAUACGUUCCCGGGCCUUGUACACACCGCCCGUCACACCAUGGGAGCCGGUAAUACCCGAAGUCAGUAGUCUAACCGCAAGGGGGACGCUGCCGAAGGUAGGAUUGGCGACUGGGGUG
rnacentral:rRNA from 1 species